CCUACGGGUGGCAGCAGUGGGGAAUAUUGCGCAAUGGGCGAACGCCUGACGCAGCGACGCCGCGUGAGUGAUGAAGGUCUUCGGAUCGUAAACCUCUGUCAGCAGGGAAGAACGGUCACUGUGCUAAUCAGCAGUGAAUUGACGGUACCUGCAAAGGAAGCAACGGCUAACUCCGUGCCAGCAGCCGCGGUAAUACGUAGGGUGCGAGCGUUAAUCGGAAUUACUGGGCGUAAAGCGCUAGUAGGCGGUAUUGCAAGUCAAGGGUGAAAUCCCCGGGCUGAACGUGGGAACGGCCUUUGAAACUGGCAAACUGGAGUGUGUGAGAGGAGAGUGGAAUUCCAGGUGUAGGAGUGA
rnacentral:rRNA from 1 species